rnacentral:rRNA from 1 species
GAUCAUGGCUUAGGACGAACGCUGGCGGCGUGCUUAACACAUGCAAGUCGAACGGGAGUAUUGAAGAAGCUUGCUUAGAGAUACUUUAGUGGCGGACGGGUGAGUAACGCGUGAGGAGCUGUCCUAUGCAGGGGGACAACAGCUGGAAACGGCUGCUAAUACCCCAUAAGCCGAGAGGUAAAAGGAUCAAUCCGGCAGAGGAGGUACUCGCGUCCUAUCAGCUAGUAGGUGAGGUAACGGCUCACCUAGGCGAAGACGGGUAGCCGGCCUGAGAGGGCGAACGGCCACACUGGAACUGAGAUACGGUCCAGACUCCUACGGGAGGCAGCAGUGGGGAAUAUUGGGCAAUGGGGGAAACCCUGACCCAGCGACGCCGCGUGGGUGAAGAAAUCCUUCGGGAUGUAAAGCCCUGUUGUAUGGGAAGAGCGGAAGACGGUACCAUACGAGGAAGCCCCGGCAAACUACGUGCCAGCCGCCGC